UUAAAACACCAGUUCCCAUACAAUCACUGAAGUUAAGCAACAUCAAGACUAAUCAGUACCUAGAUGGGUGACUGCUUGGGAAUACAAGGUGCUGCAAG